rnacentral:rRNA from 1 species
GAUCCUGGCUCAGGAUGAACGCUAGCUACAGGCUUAACACAUGCAAGUCGAGGGGAAACGAUAGAGAAAGCUUGCUUUUUCUAGGCGUCGACCGGCGCACGGGUGAGUAACGCGUAUCCAACCUGCCCAUCACUUGGGGAUAACCUUGCGAAAGUAAGACUAAUACCCAAUGACGUCUCUAGAAGACAUCUGAAAGAGAUUAAAGAUUUAUCGGUGAUGGAUGGGGAUGCGUCUGAUUAGCUUGUUGGCGGGGUAACGGCCCACCAAGGCGACGAUCAGUAGGGGUUCUGAGAGGAAGGUCCCCCACAUUGGAACUGAGACACGGUCCAAACUCCUACGGGAGGCAGCAGUGAGGAAUAUUGGUCAAUGGACGAGAGUCUGAACCAGCCAAGCAGCGUGCAGGAAGACGGCCCUAUGGGUUGUAAACUGCUUUUAUAAGGGAAUAAAGUGAGUCUCGUGAGACUUUUUGCAUGUACCUUAUGAAUAAGGACCGGCUAAUUCCGUG